CGCGUAGGAAUCUACCUGGUAGCGGGGGACAACAUGUGGAAACGCAUGCUAAUACCGCAUACGCCCUUCGGGGGAAAGCGUGGGACCUUCGGGCCACGCACUAUCAGAUGAGCCUGCGUAGGAUUAGCUAGUUGGUGGGGUAAAGGCCCACCAAGGCGACGAUCCUUAGCUGGUCUGAGAGGAUGAUCAGCCACACUGGAACUGAGACACGGUCCAGACUCCUACGGGAGGCAGCAGUGGGGAAUAUUGCGCAAUGGGGGAAACCCUGACGCAGCCAUGCCGCGUGUGUGAAGAAGGCUC
rnacentral:rRNA from 1 species